rnacentral:rRNA from 1 species
UUUAAAUGAAGACCAGAACAAAAGAUUAAACGUUUAAAUCAAUAUCUUCAAUUAAAAAAUUCAAAAUUUUUUUAAAUGUAAAAAAACAUUUAUCCAAAAGAAAGACGACAAGACCCUAUUGAACUUAACUAUAGUUAAACUGGGGCAGUUAAUUAAUAAUUAUUUUAAUUUAAUUUUUUUAAAAAAUAUCCAAUAUUAUUGAUUUAUAAUCCAGUUACCAUAGGGAUAACAGCGUAAUAAUUUUCUAAAGCUCUUAUAAAAAUAAUAGUUUACGACCUCGAUGUUGAAUUAAUAACCUAAUUUUAGUAAAAGAAAAUUAAGGAAGUCUGUUCGACUUUUAAAAAAUUACAUGAUUUGAGUUCAGACCGGUAUAAGCCAGGUCGGUUUCUAUCUUCUUCAGAUUUCUUAUAGUACGAAAGGGCCUAAGAAAAUAAUUUAAUUAUUUAAUUGGCAGAAAAUUGCAUUAGAAUUAGAAUCUAAUAAAACUCCAAUCUCAUUUAUAUUAUCCUUCCUUAUUAUUACCCUAAGU